UGGGGAAUUUGGACAAUGGGCGAAAGCCUGAUCCAGCAAUGCCGCGUGUGUGAAGAAGGCCUUCGGGUUGUAAAGCACUUUUGUCCGGAAAGAAAUCCUUGGCUCUAAUACAGUCGGGGGAUGACGGUACCGGAAGAAUAAGCACCGGCUAACUACGUGCCAGCAGCCGCGGUAAUACGUAGGGUGCAAGCGUUAAUCGGAAUUACUGGGCGUAAAGCGUGCGCAGGCGGUUUGCUAAGACCGAUGUGAAAUCCCCGGGCUCAACCUGGGAACUGCAUUGGUGACUGGCAGGCUAGAGUAUGGCAGAGGGGGGUAGAAUUCCACGUGUAGCAGUGAAAUGCGUAGAGAUGUGGAGGAAUACCGAUGGCGAAGGCAGCCCCCUGGGCCAAUACUGACGCUCAUGCACGAAAGCGUGGGGAGCAAACAGGAUUAGAUACCCUGGUAGUCCACGCCCUAAACGAUGUCAACUAGUUGUUGGGGAUUCAUUUCCUUAGUAACGUAGCUAACGCGUGAAGUUGACCGCCUGGGGAGUACGGUCGCAAGAUUAAAACUUAAAUGAAUUGACGGGGUCAUAGCUG
rnacentral:rRNA from 1 species